rnacentral:rRNA from 1 species
GCCAAAAAUCUAGCCCCAAACCACCCCCGGCCCAAACACAUCAUAUCCACUAAUCAAAACAUUUAUCAAAUUUAGUAAAGGCGAUCGAAAAAUUAAUUGGCGCAAUACAACUAGUACCGCAAGGGAAAGAUGAAAUAAAAAUGAAAACCGUUAAGCACCGAAAAGCAGAGACUUUACCUCGUACCUUUUGCAUCAUGGUUUAACUAGUCUAAUCAAGCAAAAAGAUUUAAAGUUUGACCCCCCGAAACUAAGCGAGCUACUUCAAGGCAGCCUAACGGGCAACCCCGUCUCUGUUGCAAAAGAGUGGGAAGACCUUCAAGUAGAAGCGACAAACCUACCGAGCUUAGUGAUAGCUGGUUACUCAAGAAACGGACUUUAGUCCAACCUAAAGUUAAUACUAUGUGACAAUAUUCCACCGUAACUUUAGAGCAAUUCAAAUAAGGUACAGCCUAUUUGAAACAGGAUACAACCUCAACUAACGGGUUCUAUGCCUAGCGUACCCCGAUUAAGUGGGCCUAAANNNNNNNNNNNNNNNNNNNNNNNNNNNNNNNNNNNNNNNCCCCCCCCCCCCUAAUACCUAAACCCCUAUUCAACCCUUUUAUAGUAAUGAGUAAUUCUAUAUCCCUAUAGAAAUUUUUAUGUUAAAACUAGUAACAAGAAGACGACCCUUCUCUUGAAUGCAAGCAUAAGCCAGAAAGGACACACCCCUGGCAAUUAACACCCAUGAGCUGCUAAUAGCAACGCCAUGAAAAACCCCUAUUUAUCAGUAUGUUAACCUAACACAAGAGCAUUAAAAGAAAGAUUAAAAGGAAAAGAAGGAACUCGGCAAACAGCAACCUCGCCUGUUUACCAAAAACAUCGCCUCUCGAACAAAUAUGAGAGGUCCAGCCUGCCCAGUGACUCUGUUCAACGGCCGCGGUAUCCUAACCGUGCAAAGGUAGCGUAAUCACUUGUCUUUUAAAUGGAGACUAGUAUGAACGGCACCACGAAGGUUACACUGUCUCCUUUUCCCAAUCAGUGAAACUGAUCUCCCCGUGAAGAAGCGGGGAUAAACAUAUAAGACGAGAAGACCCUAUGGAGCUUUAAACGAGGCAACAACCGCCAUCUAACUCAAAUUUCAGAAAAUUCACCUUUACCCUGGCGGUAUGAUUGCUAGUUUUGGGUUGGGGUGACCGCGGAGAAGAAACCAACCUCCACGUUGAAGGGGGCCUCCCCUAAGCAAAAAGCCACAACUUUACGCAUCAAUAAAUUGACAUCAAUUGACCCAAUAUUUUGAUCAACGAACCAAGUUACCCUAGGGAUAACAGCGCAAUCCAUUUUGAGAGCCCCUAUCGACAAAUGGGUUUACGACCUCGAUGUUGGAUCAGGGUAUCCCAGUGGUGCAGCCGCUACUAAUGGUUCGUUUGUUCAACGACUAAGACCCUACGUGA